CACGGUAAACGAUGGAUGCCCGCUGUUGGCGAUACAAUGUCAGCGGCCAAGCGAAAGCGUUAAGCAUCCCACCUGGGGAGUACGCCGGCAACGGUGAAACUCAAAGGAAUUGACGGGGGCCCGCACAAGCGGAGGAACAUGUGGUUUAAUUCGAUGAUACGCGAGGAACCUUACCCGGGCUUGAACUGCAGCAGAACGAAUCAGAGAUGAUGAGGUCCUUCGGGGCUGCUGUGGAGGUGCUGCAUGGUUGUCGUCAGCUCGUGCCGUGAGGUGUCGGCUUAAGUGCCAUAACGAGCGCAACCCCUUUCGUCAGUUGCCAUCAGGUAGAGCUGGGCACUCUGGCGACACUGCCACCGUAAGGUGUGAGGAAGGUGGGGAUGACGUCAAAUCAGCACGGCCCUUACGUCCGGGGCUACACACGUGUUACAAUGGCGCGUACAGAGGGCUGGCAUACGGUAACGUGUGUCUAAUCCUAAAAACGCGUCUCAGUUCGGACUGGGGUCUGCAACCCGACC
rnacentral:rRNA from 1 species